rnacentral:lncRNA from 1 species
AGGCCAGGAGUUCUCACUGAACGUGGAAGUAUUCGCUUUUUGUUGGAUUUUACCCUUCCGGUCCAUGUGAACCAGAGACAGAAGGCAUACUGGCCAGAAGAGCCAUUUUGAAUGUGGGGGUCAGAGGAUGCUGAAGAGCAGUUUUGUCCAAAAAGAACAUCAUCUCCAUCGGAGAAAGGGCGGCGCUGAGCCUCAGGA